UACGAAGGGGGCUAGCGUUGUUCGGAUUUACUGGGCGUAAAGCGCACGUAGGCGGAUCGAUCAGUCAGGGGUGAAAUCCCAGGGCUCAACCCUGGAACUGCCUUUGAUACUGUCGAUCUGGAGUAUGGAAGAGGUGAGUGGAAUUCCGAGUGUAGAGGUGAAAUUCGUAGAUAUUGGGAAGAACACCAGUGGCGAAGGCGGCUCACUGGACCGUAGUUGACGCUGAGGUGCGAAAGCGUGGGGAGCAAACAGG
rnacentral:rRNA from 1 species